AUUGAACGCUGGCGGCAUGCCUUACACAUGCAAGUCGAACGGUAACAGGUCUUCGGAUGCUGACGAGUGGCGAACGGGUGAGUAAUACAUCGGAACGUGCCUAGUAGUGGGGGAUAACUACUCGAAAGAGUGGCUAAUACCGCAUGAGAUCUACGGAUGAAAGCAGGGGAUCGCAAGACCUGGUGCUACUAGAGCGGCCGAUGGCAGAUUAGGUAGUGGGUGGGAUAAAAGCUUGCCAAGCCGACGAUCUGUAGCUGGUCUGAGAGGACGAUCAGCCACACUGGGACUGAGACACGGCCCAGACUCCUACGGGAGGCAGAGCGGGGAAUUUUGGACAAUGGGCGCAAGCCUGAUCCAGCAAUGCCGCGUGCAGGAUGAAGGCCUUCGGGUUGUAAACUGCUUUUGUACGGAACGAAAAGCCCUGGGUUAAUACCCUGGGGUCAUGACGGUACCGUAAGAAUAAGCACCGGCUAACUACGUGCCAGCCGCCGCCGUAA
rnacentral:rRNA from 1 species